rnacentral:sRNA from 1 species
UGCAACACCAGUCGAUCACAGCCUUCUGAUAACAUCGACAAUGAUUGUGAUGGGUUGAUUGAUGAAGAAGUUGAAGAUGGCCGAGACAGCGAUCAUGAUUUUUUAGUGGACGAGGACGUCAAGAAGAAAAUUAAUGGCGAGUGGAGCAAGUGGGAAGGCUGGCAGUGUCACAAUGACACACACCAGACAAGGGCACGGUA